GGCAGCGAGGGCGCGCUCCGCCCGGUCAGGCAGGGCGGGGAGAGGGAGGGAGGGAGGAAAUUAAGAGACAGGGAUGGAGGGAGAGGGAAGGGGCAGGAAGAGGCCUGGCUGAAGCGGGGGAGCGAAACGGGGGGAAAUGUGCUGUCCCCGCCCUUCUUCUCUUGCUUGCUGCCCCUCUUCCCCCUCCCUGGCUCCCUCCUUUCCCGCCCAAUAGCUCCUCAUGCCCCCGGCCCUGGCUCUGCCCUGGGGCAGCACUAGGGGAAAUGGGAUGAACGAGGAACAAAGGCAGAGAACGCUCCAGAAGAACGUUCCCCCCCGACGGGGGCAGAUGGACGAGGCUGUGGCAUGAUCUCCCGAGGGGAAUGGAAGGGGCCCCAGUGUCUGGGGUGUUUAAAAGUAGAAGGGACUCUGGAAAGCCCACGGACCAUUGGAGCUGGAAGGGAAUUCAAGUGUCUUUUAGUUCAUUCUCCUGCAUCAUUGCAAGUUUGAUUUUUCUAUAUUCCUAAGCCAUCUACUUUGAGAAGCCUACAGUGUUCACACUUUUAGUUGAACUCUGCUUCCAAUCCCCGGUCUCUGGAACUCUCCUUAGCUCUCUCCGUUUUUCUGACACUCUUCAUCAUUUGAAAAUCCCACUUCAACACCUCUCUCCUCUUCCUGGCGCUGUAUUGUUGAAGGAUUUUGCAUCUCUUCUUUAAUUGCCAGCAAAUUGAAAAAUCCAUUAUUUGCACAGCUCUACUCAUGAUCCACAUCCCCACGGGGACAUGACACGUUAUUAAAUAUCAGGAGAAAUUCCCGA